GGGAGUAUAGCCAAAGUGGAAAGGCGAAGGUCUGCAAAACCUUAUAUUCUGGUUCGAGUCCAGAUACUCCCUCCU
rnacentral:tRNA from 2 species